ACUGGCGCGAUUCUGGUCUGGGCCGGUAGCAGGUGAUGGGGGAUGCAUAAGCAAAACCUGCGUUCGCAAUCUUUGGCUUAGAAACUGGUGAUAUCAUCGUUAAAAGACCAUUGCAAUAACUGAAACCAACCCCAAUGGCAUCCACAGCAGGGGGGCAAAGGCUGAGGGACUAAGAGUGAAUAAUUGUUUUGCACUCAGAGAGGGUCUGGAGGUGAGACCUGAGGAAUUUCACACGAUGGAAACUCAGGCCCUACCUGCUCAGUGGAGAGAAGAGCUGCUAUCAAUCAGGCAUCUUUCACAGGGGUCUAAAAGACAAAACCUAAAAGGGGAUCAAGGGAGUCUCAAAAAUGGGGAAAGUUAUACGCUGAGGGAACAGAACUCGCUCAAGUUGCCGUUCAUCCGUGCUUGCCUGUUCAGUGCAUGGGACUUAAGCACAUGCUGAAAUGUUAAGCUGCAUGGAGGAGGACUUAAGCACACACAUAAAUGAUUUGCUGAACUGGGACUUGACUGUCUUUUGACAGCCCCUCUGCAUGUGUCUCUCCACCUCCUGUGCCGGUAUGGACAAAAUCUGUCAUUUGGAAGAUGCAUUAUAAUUUAGAAUUUGGUUCCACAAGCCACUUGUUGAAGUUGAUCAACUUUCCUCAAAUAAGAUGUAGUAUAAAAGGGGUGGAUAUUUACUGGCAGCAUGAAUCAAUUGCCCAUGGAUGGUUUCAUGGACUGACCUAAGCUUGAUGUUAGUUUUAGCAUAGGAAAAGUGAGUGGAAAUGGCUCUUACUAGGCCUGAAGGAAAUCUCGUUGAAAUCUCUGAAGGAAAGACUCGCUAGAGUGGGCUGCGUUAUCUGGCUUC